rnacentral:rRNA from 1 species
UAUACUUAGUGGCGACGGGUGAGUAACGCGUGGGCAACCUGCCCCGUNCCGGGGGAUACCGCCUGGAAACAGGCGCUAAUACCGCAUAAGCGCAUACAGCCGCAUGGGUGUAUGCGGAAAGCUCCGGCGGCACGGGAUGGGCCCGCGCCCGAUUAGCCAGUUAGCGGGGUAACGGCCCACCAAAGCGACGAUCGGUAGCCGGCCUGAGAGGGCGGACGGCCACAUUGGGACUGAGACACGGCCCAAACUCCUACGGAAGGCAGCAG